rnacentral:rRNA from 1 species
ACGCAAUAGAUACCCGGGUAGUCCACGCCCUAAACGAUGUCUACUAGUUGUCGGGUCUUAAUUGACUUGGUAAACGCAGCUAAACGCGUGAAGUAGACCGCCUGGGGAGUACGGUCGCAAGAUUAAAACUCAAAGGAAUUGACGGGGACCCGCACAAGCGGUGGAUGAUGUGGAUUAAUUCGAUGCAACGCGAAAAAACCUUACCUACCCUUGACAUGGAUGGAAUCCCUGAGAGAUUGGGGAGUGCCCGAAAGGGAACCAUUACACAGGUGCUGCAUGGCUGUCGUCAGCUCGUGUCGUGAGAUGUUGGGUUAAGUCCCGCAACGAGCGCAACCCUUGUCAUUAGUUGCUACGAAAGGGCACUCUAAUGAGACUGCCGGUGACAAACCGGAGGAAGGUGGGGAUGACGUCAAGUCCUCAUGGCCCUUAUGGGUAGGGCUUCACACGUCAUACAAUGGUACAUACAGAGGGCCGCCAACCCGCGAGGGGAGCUAAUCCCAGAAAGUGUAUCGUAGUCCGGAUUGUAGUCUGCAACUCG